rnacentral:rRNA from 1 species
UACGGAAGGCAGCAGUGGGGAAUAUUGCACAAUGGGCGAAAGCCUGAUGCAGCUAUGCCGCGUGUAUGAAGAAGGCCUUAGGGUUGUAAAGUACUUUCAUCGGGGAGGAAAAACAAAACUAAUAAUUUUAUUUCUUGACGUUACCCGAAAAAGAAGCACCGGCUAACUCCGUGCCAGCAGCCGCGGUAAUACGGAGGGUGCUAGCGUUAAUCAGAAUUACUGGGCGUAAAGAGCACGUAGGUGGUUUUUUAAGUCAGAUGUGAAAUCCCUGGGCUUAACCUAGGAACUGCAUUUUGAAACUGAAAUACUAGAGUAUCGUAGAGGGAGGUAGAAUUCUAGGUGUAGCGGUGAAAUGCGUAGAUAUCUGGAGGAAUACCUGUGGCGAAAGCGGCCUCCUAAACGAAUACUGACACUGAGGUGCGAAAGCGUGGGGAGCAAACAGGGAUUAGAUCC